rnacentral:rRNA from 1 species
AGUCGAGCGAGUCUGCCUUGAAGAUCGGAGUGCUUGCACUCUGUGAAACAAGAUACAGGCUAGCGGCGGACGGGUGAGUAACACGUGGGUAACCUGCCCAAGAGAUCGGGAUAACACCUGGAAACAGAUGCUAAUACCGGAUAACAACAGAUGAUGCCUAUCAACUGUUUAAAAGAUGGUUCUGCUAUCACUCUUGGAUGGACCUGCGGUGCAUUAGCUAGUUGGUAGGGUAACGGCCUACCAAGGCGAUGAUGCAUAGCCGAGUUGAGAGACUGAUCGGCCACAUUGGGACUGAGACACGGCCCAAACUCCUACGGGAGGCAGCAGUAGGGAAUCUUCCACAAUGGACGCAAGUCUGAUGGAGCAACGCCGCGUGAGUGAAGAAGGGUUUCGGCUCGUAAAGCUCUGUUGUUGGUGAAGAAGGACGGGGGUAGUAACUGACCUUUGUUUGACGGUAAUCAAUUAGAAAGUCACGGCUAACUACGUGCCAGCAGCCGCGGUAAUACGUAGGUGGCAAGCGUUGUCCGGAUUUAUUGGGCGUAAAGCGAGUGCAGGCGGUUCGAUAAGUCUGAUGUGAAAGCCUUCGGCUCAACCGGAGAAUUGCAUCAGAAACUGUCGAGCUUGAGUACAGAAGAGGAGAGUGGAACUCCAUGUGUAGCGGUGAAAUGCGUAGAUAUAUGGAGGAACACCGGUGGCGAANGCGGCUCUCUGGUCUGUNNNUGACGCUG